GCUCAGGCAGAAGACAACACCAUGGACCUCAACACAUUCCACACCCGGUGGAGAUGGACGAGUGACCUGACCUGAGAUUUCGUUUUCUUUUCAGAUCUACACCUCCACCACCAUCAUGUACGUUUUUUCAGUUAUUUGAUGUGUUAACAUGGGUUUAUGUUUUGAAAUUAUAUGCAUAAGAAGCCCACUAUUAAAGGAAUGACAUUAGUGUCAUCUUUCUAUCCAGAUAUGUCAAUGCCUCACAGCUGUGAAGCUGCCACUUCCUCCCAAACUCAUGGCACAGCACCCAGCCAUUCGGAAGAUUUGAGGCACAAACAUCAUCCAUUCAAAAACAUCUGGAAUGUCCUGGAGGAACACAAGAAGACCCUUUUGAGGAUAACAGAAUUCAUAAAGUACAUGCCAUGGAAGAGCACAUGGGGCCAAUGACAAGGAAGAUGGAGGUUAUGGAGAGGAAGUCCAUGACUUUGAAGGCUGCCAUGGCUUUGAACAUGCCACGACCUGCUGUUGGUCCAGUGCAGCAGAGAGCAUAAGCUGGUGGAGCUAGCCAGAAGCCUGGCUCAACCAGAAAUGAGAAAC